UAUUAAAUUUUCCUUUACCUUUCCUUCAUCAUCCUCUACAGAGUGCCAUUUCGACGACGCACCAAAAUCUUGUAGAGAUGAUGAAGCUGCACCGCAUAAUCAAGAGGCAGAGGUGAUUGUUUGGGGGCGAAGAAUCCUAAGACACAGAUUGUACUUCGAUUGGUGUGAAGUCCAUGAUGAAGUUCGAGAGUGGGUACAGUGUGAGACUGUAUUUGAUGGAAGCAAGCUUGGAAUUGAACCUUAUGCGGUUGAGACCGAGGCUUGUGGCAGGAUCUGUUGAAUGAGAUACCAAAUCAUGGAAAAGGAUCAAGGCAUUUUUCACUUAACUACAAAAUUUACAUCAAUGAUGAAACAUGACCCAACUGGAACAUGACCCAAAUGAAGAAACACGUUUUGGUAUCAAAUGAUGGAAACCUAUUUUAUAUGAAAGUUGAAGUUACUUCCAUGGAGAUGAUGUGACUUGAUGUAGAAGUUUGAAAUGAUGAAUCAGAGUUUAUUUGGAGAAUGAGAUGGAUGUGUAUUUUGAAGGAAAUUGAGCCAAUUCUCAAUAAAAUGGUCUAGGGGAAGUAAAAAAGAUAAUCUAGUAAACUUUGAACAAAAGAAUAGCUGCCAAAUUGGUAGAAUAUUUCUAUAUCAUUUUCAAGUUGAAUUAACAAUACUUGAGUACUCUUAUUUAUCGAAGGGAGGAGUAAACUCAAGUCUCAAAGAAAAUAAAAAAGAUACAAGAGCACAAAAUGGGAUGAGAGCAUGUUCAAUAGGCAGAGUUGAAUUCAACAUCAGUUAGCAAUGGGUCAACUCUUUACCUGCAUGAUGACCAACUUGUCGAAACAUUGAUAAUGUUAAAUAACAUGUUUCAGUUUGUCAUUGUUGUUGAUAGGGGGAGCUUAGUCUCUUUAUAUCUUUGUUUUUUAUGAUGAAUGAUUAAAUGAUUAAUAAUGGUUUCG